AGUGAACGCUGGCGGUAGGCCUAACACAUGCAAGUCGAACGGCAGCACAGUAAGAGCUUGCUCUUACGGGUGGCGAGUGGCGGACGGGUGAGGAAUACAUCGGAAUCUACUUUUUCGUGGGGGAUAACGUAGGGAAACUUACGCUAAUACCGCAUACGACCUACGGGUGAAAGCAGGGGAUCUUCGGACCUUGCGCGAUUGCAUGAGCCGAUGUCGGAUUAGCUAGUUGGCGGGGUAAAGGCCCACCAAGGCGACGAUCCGUAGCUGGUCUGAGAGGAUGAUCAGCCACACUGGAACUGAGACACGGUACAGACUCCUACGGGAGGCAGCAGUGGGGAAUAUUGGACAAUGGGCGCAAGCCUGAUCCAGCCAUACCGCGUGGGUGAAGAAGGCCUUCGGGUUGUAAAGCCCUUUUGUUGGGAAAGAAAAGCAGCAGGUUAAUACCCCGCUGUUCUGACGGUACCCAAAGAAUAAGCACCGGCUAACUUCGUG
rnacentral:rRNA from 1 species